UCCCGCCUCCCUGCCGCAUCCGGCGCGGACGCCAUGGUGCGGUUCAAGCACAGGUACCUUCUGUGCGAGCUGGUGUCGGAGGACGCGCGCUGCCGCCUGAGCCUGGACGACCGCGUGCUGGGCGGCCUCGUCCGCGACACGAUCGCCCGCGUGCACGGGACCUUCGGCGCCGCCGCCUGCUCCGUGGGCUUUGCAGUCCGAUACCUCAAUGCCUACACGGGGGUAGUGCUACUUCGGUGCAGAAAGGACUUCUACCAGCUCGUGUGGUCAGCUCUCCCUUUCAUCACGUAUCUGGAGAGCAAAGGACACCGUUAUCCGUGCUUUUUCAACACACUGCACGUGGGAGGUACAAUUAGAACCUGUCAGAAGUUCCUGAUUCAGUACAACCGGAGACAGCUGUUGAUCCUGUUACAGAACUGCACUGACGAAGGGGAGCGGGAAGCCAUUAAGAAGUCUGUCUCCAGAAGCGGUCUACUGGAGACAGAGCCGGCUGAAGAGCUUUCAGACAGUGUUGGUGAGGAGGCUGAGGAAGCAGGAGAGUGACCGUUUCCAGGCCACUUAUGGGACCAGGAAGUUGUGGGAGUUGGCAACAGCGCCCCACAGUUCUCAAACUGACUUCCAACCAGAGCCAGGGUCCACAAUCAGAGAACUGGGAAAGAAGGAAGUCAAGAGCCCUGCUGAGUGAAGUUCGGCCUGAACAGGAAACCAAAGCCUUUCACCAAGUUUCCACUCUUUUUCUGGACUUAUUUCAUGCAAAGUUGACCGCUGAAUGACAAAAAAUUCACAUAUGUAAACCAUCAAACUGUAACUCAAAGGCUAUCUUCCAAACUAGAAACCUACUUCCUGCCUGUGUAACCUCGCUUAAACCCUCCAAGGACUUGGAUUUUGAACAUCUCUUUCAAGCAGUAAGAAGAGAGGAAAGGCAGGGCUGUGGUGGUGCACACU